GGGACACACAGACAUAAACCAUAACAGUAGCUGAGGAUCAAGUGAGAUUAAACAGUUGGAGCACUGAACAGGAUACAACAGAAGACAGUGGCUCAUGCCCCACAAGUCACCUAAUUAGAAUCAUAACAUUGUGGAAGGGAUGUAGCUAUUGGAAGCCCACCAUCAGGCCUUAAGAAGGGCUAUUUGUUGUUGCUCACUGCCCUACAGAUGUAAACAAAGUGGCCAAAGUGCAUCAGGGUCCAACUGAAAACCCCAGAAUUUUCCUCAGGUGGCUCCUAAAGGCCUAUCAGACAUACACUCCAUUUGAUCCACAGGCACCUGUGAAUGCUUGCAUUGUUAAUACUGCUUUUGUUACCCUGUGGGCCCCUGAUAUGUACCACAUGUUACAGAAACUGGAUAGGUUUGCAGGGAUGACUAUGACUCAGUUGAUUGAGGUGACUCAAAAGGUGUUCCAUAAUAGGACAAAAAGUGGAGACUUCAGAAAGAACAGAUGAGAGUGUCAUUGGUGGCUUACAAGGAAGGGACUCAGCCAGGGACUGGAGAAAAAGGAGAGGACAAACGGCCUCAAUGGGGAGGAUGCUGCACUCCUCUAGAUCCCGACCAGUGAGCCUCUUGCAAGGAGAAGGGACAUUUCAGGUGAGAAUGUCCAAAACUGCUGGAAAAGGAAAAGAAGGAAGUGUUUGUGAUAGAUUCAGGGGAAGUUUCAGAAUGAUGGGGUCAUGGGUCUCUGUCUUUUGGCCCCAGGAAACCCAUCUUAACUGCAAUAUUAGGGUGAAAGCCUAUUAGAUUUUUGGUAGAUACUGGUGCAGACCUAUUGGUAGUUGCAGAGCUGAUAGCCCCACUCCUAGGUCAGAAAGUAUAUGUUCAAGGGGCAAUGGUCAAACUUCGACAUAUUCUUUUUGUGAGCCACAACAGGUUCAGCUUGGAUGACAAGUAGUUAGUCAGUCCUUUGUGCUUAUGCCUGACAGUCUCUUUCCCCUCCUGGGAUGAGAUCUUUGCAAGCUAGGGGCCAAAAUUUCUUUCAUAUUUAAGGAACUAUUUUAACUACAGGAGAAAAAUCCCCAUUAAAGGCUCAUGUUUUGACUAUUACUUUACAUAGGCAGGAGGAAUACUGCCUUCUGGACUCCCAUAUGUGAGGGCAAUCUGUUCUCCCUUCUUGGACACAACAUUUCCCCAAGGUUUGAGCUGAAGGCAAUCCUCUUGGUUUGGUGACGCAUGUGCCCCUGGUUAUAGUAGAGUUGGUAGGGCAUGCAAAGCCAGUUCACCUGAGAUAGUACCCAGUGGCUAUGGAAGCCAGGAGAGGGAGUAAGCCCCUUAUACAGAGAUUGCUGAAAGCAGGCAUAUUAAGAGAAUUCCAGUCUCCAUGAACUACGCCUUUCCUGCAAGUUCAUAAGCCUGGUACAAAUGGAUAUUUCCUGGUCCAAUACUUACAAGCCAUCAAGGCCUUGGUAGUUACCCCUCACCCUUCUGUACCUAAACUCUACACUUUGCUCUGUUUGCUCCCACCUACCCAAAUCUGGUAUACUGUGUUACCUAAAAGGUGCUUUCUUCUGUGUUCCCUUGUCUGGUGCAUCAUAAGAAUUGUUUGCUUUUGAAUGGGAGGAACUGGAGGCAGGGGAUGAAAGUGCCAAUUAACUUGGACAAGGCUCCCUUAGGCAUUUAAGAACUCCCCAGUGAUCUUUGGGAAAGCCCUAUCCAGUGCCUUUUAGCUUAGAAAACCCUCCAAUAACUUUAUUACAGUGUGUUGAUUAUUUGCUUCUGGUAGUUGAAACACGGGAGCUCUGCCAACAAAAACAGACUGUUGGAAUUGCUGUAGGAUAAAGGGUACUGUGUUUCAAAGAAAAAGGCUCAAAUUUGUGUAUAAACUGUAAAAUUUCUUGAGUUUGUGCUAAAGGAUGGGACUCACUCCCUGUCAGCCUCCUGUACCCAGGCCAUACAGGACUUAAAGGAACUUCAUCCAGGAAAGACUUGAGGGAAUUCCUGGGGACAGUUGGAUACUGUUGCCUUCGGAUUCCCAAUUUUGCAGCCAUCACAAAGCCCUUAUAUGAUGCUUUCAAAGGCAGCAAAGGCCCCCCACCAGUAGAGUGGAACCCUGAAACCCAAACAGUCUUUGAGAUUCUGAAAGAAAAGCUGGUAAGUCCUCCUAUGCCGGCAACAUCCAACAUUACCAAAGCAUUCUAACUGUUUGUACUUGAAAAAGAAGGCAUUGCUCAGGGUGUCCUAAGUCAGACUCUAGGAUCCUGGAAGUGCCCAGUGGCAUAUUUGUCCAAAAGACUAUGUGGCAACCAGGUGCCCCCCCUGCCUGUAUACCCCUCAUGACCAUCAUUAUAGUCAAAGAAGAUGGUAAACUGACUUUGGGACAAAAGCUAACUGUGUUUGUUCCCUGUGCAGCAGAGACCUUGCUGAAGGGAACUGGUGGUAAGUGCCUGUUGGGAACCAGACUGGCCCACUACCAAGGGACUCUUUUGAAAGAUCCCUGACUGGCUAUUAAAACAAUUCAGGCCCUCAGUCCUGCUUCUCUUUUGCCUAUGUCCCUGGAGUUGCCUGAGCAUGACUGUAUGAAGUGAUUCAGACAAUCUACUUAGCCUGACCAGACCUACAAGACAUGCCCCUCCAGAACCCUGACCUGAGCCUGUUUUCAGACAGCAGCAACGUGAUAACCAAUGGAGUUUGGAGGGUGAGAGUGGCUGUCAUCACCACUGAAUGGAUUGUUCAGUCUGAGGCUUUGCCUCCUGGGACAGCUGCUCAGAGGGCUGAGCUAAUCACUCUCACUUCAUCCCUAGAGGUAGGGAAGGGUAGGUGAGUAACCAUCUAUACUGAUUCCCUGCUAUGCAUUUGCCACCCUAAAUGUGCAUGGUGCUAUCCACAAAGAGAGGGGCUUAUUGACUACAGGGGGAAAAGAUAUCAAAAACUCCCAAGAAAUUUUAAGCCUCUUACAGGCUAUUUGACUGCCUGCCAAAGUUGCUGUGAUCUAUUUCCCUGGGGACCAAAAGGGCAAUUUGAUGGAAGCUCAAGGAAUCUAAUAGUGGACUUGGCAGCCAAGCAAGCCAUCACUGGAGAGUUGCUUCCAGCGGUCUGGGCCUUAGUGGCUCCAUUUGUCAAGCCAUCCAAGUAUUCAGAAGCAGAAUUAAAAUGGGCCAGUACAAAGUGGGCCACAGAGAAAAAUGGGUGGCACAUCCUGCCCAGAGGAACAGUGUUCCUCCCUGAAGUUUUAGGACAUUUUGUGAUACAGGAGUUGCAUAGCCAUACUCAGGAAAGACUACCAUGGCAGAAUUAGUAGGCUGCCACUUCUUUGUUCCCAGACUGUGGACUUUGUGUGCUUUGGUGGCUGCCAGGUACACAGCCUGUGCACAUAACAAUCCAGUUGCUCACCCUCAACAACAACUGGGCCUCUGAAGGCAAGGACUUUGCUAUUUGAGGAUGAUGAAGUAGACUUUACUGAAAUCAAACCUACGAGUGGUAAAAAAAAGCAUUUACUGGUUUUGAUCUGCACCUACUCCGGCUGAGUGGAAGCCCUCUCCACUAGGCCUGAGACAUCUAGAGAAGUGGUAAAAGCCCUGAUGGAGCUGAUUAUACCCCAGUAUAGGCUCCCCAUGAUGAUAGGUUCAAAUAAUGGAACUGCUUUUGUGGGUAGAAUAAUCGAAAGUUUGUCAGAAGCCCUGGGGCUAAAAUAGAAGCAGCUUACAGCCUACUGAUCACAGAGUUCUGGCCAAGUGUGGGGACAAAACCAAACUCUAGAAAGCACCCUAGCCAAGCUCUGCCAAGAAACUGGACCUAACUGGGUGAUUAUGCUUCCAGUGGCCCUCCUACAGUCUCGAUGCACCCAUACUGAGAUGGGGUAGCUCCAUUUGAGAUAAUAUUUGGGAGGCCUCUCCCACUUUUGCUUAUUCUGGAAGGACUACAGGAGAUGGAAACUCAUGAAAGCCUUGCAGCAGACUUUAAAGGAUCUGCAACAGACUGUGCUAUGACAUCCCAUCUUGAUUUAUUCUCCUGUUCAUUCUUUUGAGCCAGGAGACAAAGUUCUAGUUAAAACUUUGAAAGAGGAGUCCCUCCAGCCAAAAUGGGAGCAUCUUCAUGAGUUAAUCCUAACCAUUCCAACUGCUCUUAAAGUUAUAGGUUGUGCUCUGUGGAUUCACCACUCCUGAGCCAAGGGGUGGAUGCCUGAGCUGCUGGCGGAACAGAUACAGCCACCUGCACCUGAGACUACUGCAUGUCACAUCUCGGCGGGCACAGCUCUCUAUGAAGUCUCCAACCAGAGCGGGCUGUGUACCAAGAGGUCGUGGGAACAGGGUCUUCCUCCGCUCAUGAAAACCAGCCCAGCCCUGUCCCUGCUGUUCUUCAGAGGAGCUCAGCGCUGAAUGGCAGGUGUUCCCUCUUGGGAUCAGGAUUGAACACAGAGGCUCGCCGUUGAGGUUGGGUUGAACUGCGUUUUUCUUUUUGCUAUUUUAAAAGGUGUCCAGUGUGAGCUGCAGCUGGUGGAGCCCGGGGAGGCUUGCUGCAGCCUGAAGGGUCCCUGAGACUCUGCGGCCUCUGCAUUUACCUUCAGUGAUUACUGCUGUGAAUCAGGUCCAUCAGGCUCCAAGGAAGCACCUGGAAUCGGUUGAUCUUGUUGCAAAAAGAAACAAAGAUAACAGAUACACGAAAGAAUACUCCACAUCUGUGAAAGAAAGAUUCACCAUUUCUAGAGAUGAGUCCGAAAGCAUUGCCUAUCUGCACGCAGAAAGUCUGAGUACCAACAACGCUGCUGUGUAUUGCGUGCCAGAGACGGUGAGGAGACCUCAGUGCAAGCCCACACAUACCUCCCUGCAGCGGCGCUCGCGGCCAGCAGGGGGCGGUCAGGACACACCGAGUUUAGAAUUAACCGUGAGGCAGGUGCAAGGGGUUUGGGGAUUGGAAACCGUUAACAGCUGGUUGCCCGUCGGAGUCUAAUCUGCCUGUCCUUCUAAUAUUUCCCCAGAGAACAAUUUUAAGUGUAUAUCCUGUUCCUAUCACUGACUUCUCUGAAUUGGGCGUGUUUUCUGGGGAAAAGCCUAUGGGGAAAGAAUAUGGGGACACAUUCUCAUCUGCAUGAAAGUCCCUGAGUUUCUUAUGGAAGCAGAAAUGAGUCCACUGUCAGCAAGAUCAAAUCCUAAGGAGCGCAGGGGAACUUGGUGUUAAAUUGAAAGGUUCUUUCAAUGGUGAUAUAUUUUUAUGGUGGACUCUAGAAGGUGUCAUAUAUUACUGAAAACCCAGUGCUCUCCCGUCUGUUAGAGAAGAAAUAGAAAGUGCAUGGGCAGUAAUCUCAAUGACCAAGGUUAUCCAAGCAACAUUUCACCAUACUAAUAAAUGUCUGGAAGCUAAUGUCUACUACUUUGAGCACCUCUUGUAAUUCCAGAGGUCAAAGUAUGCCCUAUUUCUAUCUGUGACAAAGAAUAGAAGUUGUUCCAGCCAAUGUUAAGGCUCACAUCCAACAUCUACCUCUUUAUCAAUAUGUUUCCUCAGUAAAUAAAAACAGUUCACCAUGGAGAAGUGGCUGGCAUCAGGUCUGGAUUUGAUUUGGGAGCAUCUGUGAGUGCCCCAAAGUGAGGAAGCUCUCAAGGUACAAAGGGUGUUGGUGUGUGAAAGUGCUCAGCAGUGCGAGUGUGGAUGAGUCACAACGCCCAGCAGUGAGCAUGUGGACACAUCACAGCACUCAGCAGUUAGACUGGGGCUGCAUCAAAGGGACACACGGAGGAGAAGCAAGGGCAACUAGAGGACAAACCUGGAACAACUGAAGCAGUAAAAUAAAUGGAGUACUGGAUUCCAUUCCCAAAUAGAUAUACAUGACUGCAUAGAGAUGUGAGCCAGAACUGAAUAAAUAACUGAGAGACAGUGUGUAUGA